GGGGGCGGGGCCCGGAGCAAAAGACCACGCUAAUGGGGCGCGGACUGGGUCGGGCCGACGGACGGCGGCGGCUCUGGUGGAGGCGGAAGGAGGUCUCGGCCGCGGAGGGGUAAGCUGGAGGCUCUUCUCCUGAGAGUGUGGGUGCCGCGGUGGGAGCAGGUGGCCGGAUAUUUAUGGGAGGAUGAUUUGAGCUAGCACAGAAGUGAGAAGAGACUGACAGGGUGUACAGCCACCAUGACCAGUCACACCAGAGGGCUUCUUCUCCCUCGGUUAUUUCCAGGAUCUCAGGCCUGAGGCCUACUUUCCACAGGAACUGGAUGCGAGGUACCCUAGCAAAUCCAGGAAGCAGCUCUGCCCAGCAGCUGGCUCCAGGUGGGCCAAGUGAAAUUCUGGAACUACUGCCCGUGCUGCCGAGAAGACCUGGAUUUUGUUCCCAAGCACAUCAGUGUCAACAUCAAUGGGGGAUAAAAGGUGGGUACACAUCACCCCCCCAUUCCCAGUCAGGCACAGGGUGCCACCAGGUGGAUGAACCUAGCCGCGGCAUCCACCCUGUCACUUACAGCUCCACACCUCCACUUGAAUGGCUGUUGCUGGGGGUGGGGGUGGAAUGUGGCAGUAAAAGUUGUUAG
rnacentral:lncRNA from 1 species